rnacentral:rRNA from 1 species
GACGAACGCUGGCGGCGUGCUUAACACAUGCAAGUCGAACGGAAAGGCCCUGCUUGCAGGGUACUCGAGUGGCGAACGGGUGAGUAACACGUGGGUGAUCUGCCCUGCACUUCGGGAUAAGCAUGGGAAACUGGGCCUAAUACCGGAUAGGAGCCAUUUUUAGUGUGAUGGUUGGAAAGUUUUUUCGGUGUAGGAUGAGCUCGCGGCCUAUCAGCUUGUUGGUGGGGUAAUGGCCUACCAAGGCGGCGACGGGUAGCCGGCCUGAGAGGGUGGACGGCCACAUUGGGACUGAGAUACGGCCCAGACUCCUACGGGAGGCAGCAGUGGGGAAUAUUGCACAAUGGGCGCAAGCCUGAUGCAGCGACGCCGCGUGGGGGAUGACGGCCUUCGGGUUGUAAACUCCUUUCGCUAGGGACGAAGCUUUUUGUGACGGUACCUAGAUAAGAAGCACCGGCUAACUACGUG